UGCAAAUUAGAUUGACAUUAAAUGCAUGAAUGUGAUGACAGUGCUAAGCAUCCUACUUUCUAAUAAUGUUCGAGCAUGUCGUAAAAGUGAGAACUCAGGUGGAACUGUCAGCCAGUUGUGUCUCACAUUUCUCAACCCCUUUGGGUUUCAAGCUUCAUUAAUCAAAGCACAACACAGCAUAUGAGCACAGAAAUUAAUCUUUUCUAAUCAUGUCGAAUAAAGAACCAUCCUGUUAUAUACAGAAAAGUCUUUGAGUUUAGUAGAGGAAUGGACUUCGGUUCAAACAUGAUUAAUUAAGACACUGAGAGUUGCUUAAUUAUCCACUUAUUUGUUUAUUUCCUCUGCCAUCAAAAACACAGACUCCUCUCAAUCAUUUCUGUUGUAGGUCAUUCGUUGAAGGCCGGAUAUUAUGAAAUUACACCAAUACAUUCUCCAAAUGCCCACUGGAUGCACACUUCAGUUGCAUUUAGUCAUCAGAACAGUUCUUGAAGGAAAGAAAGUCUGGGGAAACCAGCUAUGGCAAAUUACCUCCGACUCUGUCUGCAGCCAUUACACCAUCAAAGGAAAGCAGCACUUCACGACAAUAAAACUGACAUGUAAAUGCAUGAUAAGAUGUUGAGCAGUGGUUGUUUGUUUUGUGCCAGGAAAUGAAAAAGACUUCAAGUCGCAAGGAUGAAGAGAGCUACAAAACAGUAAUUUUUGGACUUGAUAUAUCUUAUUUAAUAGAAACAUGUUGACUAUUAAAGAGUUUAUUUUUUUAUUAGAAGCAGUCUGAACAGGUAUUUAGAUGUGCCUAGAUAUUAAAGACACAGAAUGCAAAGAAUUGAGAAGCAAAAUAAAAUAUUGUUAUAGCUGUAGCUCUACUCA
ensembl:lncRNA